rnacentral:rRNA from 1 species
GCUAGUACGAAGGCGUUAGCCAAAGAGUAGGGUUGCUUGAGAGUGCAGCUUGAAGUAGGAGGUAUGCAUCUCCUAAGACUAAAUAUUACUGCGAGACCGAUAGCGAACAAGUAGCGUGAGCGAAAGUUGAAAAGAACUUUGAAGAGAGAGAACAAAGAGCGUGAAACCACUAGUAGGGAAGCGGAGAUUAUCCCGAAGUGGCGUUGCAUUUGUGUGGUAUUUUAACGUCUGACGGUGUUAUGCUUACAGUUUAGUUUUUGUUUCGGCAGAGAAAACCUGUAUGUGUAUUAAGCUGUCGAUUAAGAUGCUACAAAGCACAGAUGUUGCCAGUAUUGUGUCUUCUUUCAAAACUUCAUAGUGCUACUAAUUGCUUGAGCUCACUCUUUGGGGGAGUUUGAAUUAGAUUGGUGGUUUUAGACUGUAUACUAACUCAAGUUUUACUAGAAAUGGUAAGAUGAGAGGUGAAGUCUCUAUGGUUUGAGUAAAGGAAGAAAAGGCAUAAUAUAAGUAGAUCGAUAAAUCUCUGCCCCGUCUUGUAACACGGACCAAGGAGCCUAACGUGUACGCAAGUCUCUUGGAAAUAAAAAGCCAAGUGGCGUAACGAAAGCAAGUUGUGUUUUUCUAUACAAGUUGAACACUGUUACGAUGCGUUUUUUAGUUGAAGAACGUUGCAGUAACAAUGCGAUUCUUACGAGUCGUAUUAGAGCGUAUACGGUAGUACCCGAAAGAUGGUGAUCUAUGCUUGAGCAAGGUGAAGCCAAAGGAAACUUUGGUGGAGGCCUGCAGCAGUUUUGACGUGCAAAUCAAUUGUCAGACUUGAGUAUAGCGGCGAAAGACUAAUCGAACCAUCUAGUAGUUGGUUCCCUCCGAAGUUUCCCUCAGGAUAGCUGGCACNAUUUUUUUUUAAAAUAACCAUUUAAACCUGUUACAGUCUCAAUAGAAGGUAACGGGGCGUUAAUUGACCUUGUCCUUUUCUUAAACUCGGUCAAUGGGUUUUAAAGUUGCAUACUAAUAGUAUGUAAAUUUUGUUUAAUGGUAACGCUUAGUGGGCCAUUUUUGGUAAGCAGAACUGGCGAUGCGGGAUGAACCGUACACAGAGUUAAGGUGCCAAAGUUUAAUACGCUAAUUAGAUCCCACUAAAGAUGUUGUUCGCUUAAGACAGUAGGGCGGUGGCCAUGGAAGUCGGCAUCCGCUAAGGAGUGUGUAACAACUCACCUACCGAAGCGUUCAACUCUGAAAAUGGAUGGCGCUUAAGCGUUACACUGAUACUCUGUCGUAGUAGUAAAUCCGUAAGAAUGCAUAUUGCAAUGGAACAUUGUUUAAUAUGUAGAUUAAACUUCUACGAGUAGGAGGAAUGUGGUGAUAGCGUUGAAGUUUUGCGCGUAAGCGCGAAUGGAGCUAUUGCUAGUACAGAUCUUGGUGGUAGUAGCAAACAAACAAGUGACAACCUUGUUGACCGACGUGGAUACGGGUUUCAUGGGAACAGUAAUUGGCCAUGAGUUAGUCGAUCCUGAGGAGUGACGUGAAGGCGUUUUCGUAAGAAGUAUCUCUUGUUGGAUACACUCCGAAAGGGAAUGAGGUUAAUAUUCCUCAACCUUGAUCAUGCAAAUUCAAAGCGGUAACGCAGUCGAACUCAGAGACAUCUGCCAAAGUCCUGGGUAGAGAUAUCUUCUCUACCUUAAGGUGUGCUAAGUGCCUUGAAUCAGUUUAGCUGGAGACAGGCAUAGAUGCGCCGAAUAGCAUCGCGCUUCAAGUGAUGUGUACAGUGUACUUUGGUUGAUCCUUGAAAAUCUGGGUGAGUAUUAUUAAGGCAUGACAAGAUCGUACCUAGUUCCGCAACAGGUAUCCUAGGUGAACAGCCUCUGGUCUAUUAGAAGAAUGUAGGUAAGGGAAGUCGGCAAACCUGAUCUGUAUCUUUGGUACAAAGGUUGGCUCUGGCGUGUUUGCUUGAUGCGGUGUAAUUAGUACGCCGGAAUAGUUUGCGAAGACUGACGAUUGGCGCAAGUCGAUUGUUGGACUUUGUGAACAGUUCUUGCCGAAAACUGCAUUGUGUCUUGCAAUUAAAACAAUUAGUCAGAACUAUCAUUGACUGUUCGGAAUCUGACUGUUUAAUUAAAACAUAGCAUUGAGAUGACCGGUGACCCGGUGUUGACUCAAUGUGAAUUCUGCCCAGUGCUCUGAAUGUCAACGUGUAGAAAUUCAAUGAAGCGCGGGUAAACGGCGGGAGUAACUAUGACUCUCUUAAGGUAGCCAAAUGCCUCGUCAUCUAAUUAGUGACGUGCAUGAAUGGAUUAACGAGAUUCCAUCUGUCCCUACUUACUAUCUAGCGAAACCACAGCCAAGGGAACGGGCUUGGCGAAAUCAGCGGGGAAAGAAGACCCUGUUGAGCUUGACUCUAGUCUGGCAUUGUGAGGAAACUGUAUCUGGUAUAGCUUAGGUGGGAGGCAAGGCAACUUGUCGUUAUCAACUGUAAAACCACCACAGUACAGCACCACUCACUGACUUAAUUAUGAGGCUUACUUUAUCGUUUUUUUUAAAAAUGGUAAAGGAAACUUUUUAAUUGCAAAUUAAGCCGGUGCGGUGUUAUUGGGUUCGCUCAAUUUCACGUAUCGUACCGUCGAGGCAUUAUUUAAGGACAGUGCCAGGCGGGGAGUUUGACUGGGGCGGUACAUCUAUCAAAUGCUAACGUAGGUGUCCUAAUGUUAGCUCAGUGAGACCAGAAAUCUCACGUAGAAUAUAAGGGUACAAGCUAGCUUGAUUCUGAAUAUCAGUGCGAUUGCGAGACAAGAAAUUGUGGCCUAACGAUCCUUUUGAAAAGCGAAAUAUUAUCAAUGCAUAAUGCAAGAGGUGUCAGAAAAGUUACCACAGG